rnacentral:rRNA from 1 species
UACGUAGGGGGCAAGCGUUAUCCGGAAUUAUUGGGCGUAAAGAGUACGUAGGUGGCAACCUAAGCGCAGGGUUUAAGGCAAUGGCUCAACCAUUGUUCGCCCUGCGAACUGGGAUGCUUGGGUGCAGGAGAGGAAAGCGGAAUUCCUAGUGUAGCGGUGAAAUGCGUAGAUAUUAGGAGGAACACCAGUGGCGAAGGCGGCUUUCUGGACUGUAACUGACACUGAGGUACGAAAGCGUGGGGAGCAAACAGG